rnacentral:rRNA from 1 species
UACGUAGGGGGCAAGCGUUGUCCGGAAUCAUUGGGCGUAAAGAGCGUGUAGGCGGCCCGAUAAGUCCGCUGUGAAAGUCCAGGGCUCAACCCUGGGAUGCCGGUGGAUACUGUCGGGCUCGAGUCCGGAAGAGGAGUGUGGAAUUCCUGGUGUAGCGGUGAAAUGCGCAGAUAUCAGGAGGAACACCAAUGGCGAAGGCAGCACUCUGGGACGUGACUGACGCUGAGGCGCGAAAGCCAGGGGAGCGAACGGG